rnacentral:rRNA from 1 species
CAGCAGCCGCGGGAAUACCGAGGGUGCGAGCGUUAAUCGGAUUUACUGGGCGUAAAGCGUGCGUAGGCGGCUUUUUAAGUCGGAUGUGAAAUCCCUGAGCUUAACUUGGGAAUUGCAUUCGAUACUGGUUAGCUAGAGUGUGGGAGAGGAUGGUAGAAUUCCAGGUGUAGCGGUGAAAUGCGUAGAGAUCUGGAGGAAUACCGAUGGCGAAGGCAGCCAUCUGGCCUAACACUGACGCUGAGGUACGAAAGCAUGGGGAGCAAACAGGAUUAGAUACCCCGGUAGUCCCUGUCUCUUAUAC